rnacentral:rRNA from 1 species
UACGGGGGGAGCAAGCGUUGUUCGGAUUUACUGGGCGUAAAGGGCGCGUAGGCGGCCACCGCAAGUCGACUGUGAAAUCUCCGGGCUUAACCCGGAAAGGUCAGCCGAUACUGCGGGGCUAGAGUGCAGAAGGGGCAACUGGAAUUCUCGGUGUAGCGGUGAAAUGCGUAGAUAUCGAGAGGAACAUCAGUGGCGAAAGCGACUUCCUGGACCAAUACUGACGCUCAUGUGCGAAAGCGUGGGGAGCAAACAGG